rnacentral:rRNA from 1 species
UACGUAGGGGGCAAGCGUGUCCGGAAUUAUUUGGGCGUAAAGCGCGCGCAGGCGGUUCUUUUUUAAGUUCUGGUGUUUAAACCCGAGGCUCAAACUUCGGGUCGCACUGGAAACUGGGGGACUUGAGUGCAGAAGAGGAGAGUGGAAUUCCACGUGGUAGCGGUGAAAUCGUAGAUAUGUGGAGGAACACCAGUGGCGAAGGCGGACGUCU